GCCUGACGCUCACGCGCCUGUCAGACCGUCUGUUGGCCCACGCGCGCGUGAGUUCACGCGCAUUAUAAAAAAAAAACCCUCUCUCCGCUCAUUCUUCUGCUGCAACGUCUCAAAAUUACUCUCUCCUCUUCGUUUCCUCCGUUCCAGAUUCUCUCCUCUCUGCACUCAUCUCUCCUCGCCGGAGACCACCAGCUCCUCUCCUCGACGGAGACCACCAGCUCCUCUCCUCUCUUUGUUCCUCUGCUCAAAAUCCAAAGAAAAUCAGACGAUGGAGGUGCGACGGUAGUGUGCGAAUGCUAAUUCGAUCUUGCCGCCGAUCUCUCUCCAUCCUCACAUUCGCCGGAGAUCUCUCCUCCCAGCCACCGGGGAUGUGAAGAAGCCCUAUCGUUUUCGUUUCUUUGAGAUCAUGUCAGACAAUGAGGGGUUGCUGAGUCUAACAGAGAAACAAGCUCAACAGAUCACUCAACAAACCGGUUACAUCAAAGAGUUGGAAGGUCGAGAGAGAGUUCUUACUCAAAAUGUAAAAUUUACUUUAGUAUGUGGAACUCUUAGUUAUGAUUAGCUAAUGAUUUCUCACAUUUAGUUAUGUUUUUGUGGUCUUUAGUUUUCACUAUGAAUUAGUUAAUGUUUUCUCAUAUUUAGUUAUGUUUUUGUGGUCUUUUGUUUUCACUAUGAAUUGAAUUAGUUAAUGUUUUCUCA